GAGGAGGCGAUAGACCGGGCGGUUAGACGGGGAGGCUUUCUAAACACUUCGUGGAUGUGGCAGACCUCGCAUAAAGAAGUUAUUUGCGCCCGUUUCACAAAACGGGACAAAUCAAGGCUCCCUCUCAACGCAUGUUAGAAGAGGAUUUACAGAGUGCAAACUCAAACCACAUAACAUACCAAGAUCUGAGUGUGCCACUCCACUGGAUAUUAUUGGCCUUUCAAUACCAUUCAACAAUUUGAUAACGGGAUAGAAAUUGAGAGACAGAGCAGCCUGUCCAAAAGCUUUCAAAAUCACUGCUCCUCCUUGACCUUUUUGAACUGCUGCAGUCCGUGUGGUGAAGCCCUGCCCAGAUUGCUGUUUGGACAACCAGAAUUGGACACAGUCCUGCAGAAGAGGCCUCACCAAUGGCCUGUAUGAUCUCAACAUGACGUCCCAACUUCUCUACACAACAGACUGAGCAAUGUAGGGAAUUGGAAAGGAUUUACAGACAGGCAGCUCAAGUCAAAAAUUGGAUCAACAGCUGCCAGUGACACUCAAUUCUCGAGAGCUUUGAACGUGGAAGAAAAAAGCAUCGUUCACGGUGAAGAGAAACCAUACACGUGGUCUGUGUGCACAAGCCUUCGGUCAAUCGUCUGGCCUGUCGAUACGUAAAUGCAGUCAAAACAGUAUGACAACAAUGACAUCAAGCAGCACUUGCUUUGCAAUGUCACAGUGAUGGAUCUCGGUUUGAGUUAGGCAAGGGCCACUCAUCUCCUGAUCUCCUCACAUUUUUGGUGCAAACAUGGACCAAACAGCUGAAUUCCAAAUGAGAGUGUGACUUUCCUGCCAUCUUAAGGCUCUAUUUGACAGAGCAUUGUAUCAAGGAAUCAUAGCAAAACUAGAGUCAACGGGAUUCAGAGAAUAUUAUUCUCGCUUUGAUUGUGGGUUUUUGAAAAGAUUGCAUCCUCAGACCUGAGUAGAUCAAAACAAGGUGAAUUUAUUCAAGCUUGUACCACAUAUUUGCGGAAGAGGUCUCCUCGUCGAGCUUGGAGAUCCUCUACCAUUUACAGCUCAAAACAGCAUAUUGAGACGUUUUCACGUCAGGUUGGUUGUAUGUAACAUUG